CUAGAAGUCAGCUCCACGUUCGGCUAACCUGAAUCUUCAUUUGGACCUCGUUCCAUCCCAAAGUCCUCUCAUCGCUACCUAGGUAUGGGCCGUAUGGCUGCCAAGUUUCUUUUAGUAAUGUAUGUAUCAUCUUCAGACCUGCCUCCAAGGCUCCAUCUAGGUAGAUGUCACGUAAUAUAGUUUCACACCACUAAUUUCGUUUAGUUUCUUGGUUCAAAGUUGUACAAACUAACCUACGAACAAAUGCAAAAGUAUUUCACUAUGCAAACUACAAUGUUUGAUCUGCGCUUGCAAUAGUUCUAAUGCACUUGGAAGACACUAUCGUGAAGAAAGUUAUUGGGUUUUCCACCACCUUAGCCCGACACACACAUAUACUGAAAUGGUCGUUCUUCAAACAAAACGAAGAUUAGCAUCCUUCCUCGUUCACCCCUGUUUUCGAAUGGUUUUGCACGGUGCAGAGUCAUUGAAUGGGAAGUACUAAUUUCAUGGGGUUUGUGGUGCGAUGUCUAGCUAGCAAUUGUAAACACGAAUUAUCUAAUUAAUUGAAGCGGUCUACUUGUUCUGUUCUUAAAGAAAAGGACUUGGCUUCUCCACUUUCGCAAAUCUUGUUUACACAUCAUCACAUAGAGAUUGGGCUCAUCGCAUUAUGGAGAUGCACAUCAUUACUUGUGAGCAGUCAUUUUCAGUAUCAUUGAUAUUGCUUACCAACAUGUUGACCAGGCGCAAACCAAAGCAGAUCCAUCCAAGAUGCUCAAAAUUGUUCACUUUUUGUACUCUUUUGUUCUAUAUUCUUGAACAACCCCACCCACACAUUUAUAGUCUAAGCCUAAAAUAUGUGCUUACUUCACUACUUACUUCAUUUAUUUUGGUUUUCUCAUUGACAGUAAGUUGUAGCACAAUACUGCAUCUCAAGCCGACAUGUAUUCAAGAAUGAUCGUCUUGAAAGAAAGGUGAGGCGUCCAUCCUCAUUUACAGCUCUCGUUUCAGUUGUAUUUGUUUAAUCCUAUCCAUUAUCUGUAGCCUGGGUUCGCUGCUAGACUACAUAUUACUAUUCCGGCUACAAAAUAUAUGUCUCAACAGAAUAUACUAAUCGAGAAGGCCGAAGUCCCGUGAAACGACAACAUACUAGCGGCCAGCUCUAUCUUCUGCCAAUGUGUGAAUCAUGGCUGCAUCUAUUGGCAAACUAAUGAGAUCAAUGAGUUUCUUCAUUAGGACCUCAUAUUGAUUCCUUAGUCUUCUGAUAGCUAGCUAGCAAGUCUAAUUAAUGAGUAAUAUAUUCAGACCUGCAGUAUCCAUCUUAAUAACUCCCUUUAUAAACUAAUAUAAGGUGUUUAAGAUCACUAAAGUAGUGAUCUAAAAUGUCUUAUGUUAGUAUACACACGUAGUAGUUCAUUACUUACCAAUUCCCUUAAGACAUGCACACAAAACAAGGUCAAAUCCAUGGUACAUAUGGUGUCCCUUACGGAUACUAGCAAUAACGUUCUGUAGAUAAUGUUGUUAACAUACACCAUGUUACUUACGAAGCAAUUAUAACUCCUGUCCACUUCUGCUUGGCACACUACUUAUUUAGUUAUUUCCUCAAUUGAUUUGUCUCACUAACAAGUAUUUUAUUUUUACUCCAGUGUAAGCAAUUGCAAGUUGGUUAAGAUGUAACACAACUUCAACCAUUUUUUCAAAACAACGCACUCACAUUUGAUAUUGACCUUAAGAAAUUUUCUUAUUAUUGUAGAUCAGAUGGAAUUCUACAACCUCAAAUCUGAGAAAGUACACACCCAGUCAUCAAUCUUGAUGUAAUGCAAGAAUAUUUGUCCUUGUACUAGACCAAAAUGUUUGCUUGUAUUACUGGCCAUAAC
rnacentral:lncRNA from 1 species